rnacentral:RNase_P_RNA from 3 species
GUAGCGCGUUUGGUGACUGCGCGACUCGUUGAAAAACGAGAGUGAGGAAAGUCCGAACACUCCUGUCGUAAGACAUGGAAGCGAGAAGUGGGUAACGCCCACCCUUCGACAAAGUUAGGGCAGACCGCCUUGAAUGUGUUGGAGAGGGAAAGUACCACAGAGACAAUUCUGCCGAACGGCCCGAAAGGGUGCGUGGCGAUGGUGAAAAGAGGUGGGGUAAGAGCCCACAGUCGUGGCUGGUGACAGUCGCGAGUGGAAAACCCUUCUCAGUGCAAGGCCGUGCUCCGAUGUUCAUCGGAGAGUGCCGCAAAGAGCCGUCUAGCAAUAGGCGAGCCAAGACAGAUGGUUGCCCUCGCUCAAGUUUUCUAAAACUCGGGCGGGACAGAAUUCGGCUUAUGAACGCGCUGCGCUU